GUGUGAGACACCAAACCUCCUUGAAGAAAGCCCUGUCAGGUGGAUCUACCUGUAGGAACACCAUCAUUCCCCCAAACCAACUUAAUGAUAAGAAAUAGAAAGAGAAAUAUUACGCUAUAUAGUGACUGUGUUUUGUAUGAGAAUGCGUUGUCAAUGUAAUUUCAUUUCUAAAUUCUACUAAAUUCAAGCUCUUUUCUAAAGAAGCUGUAUUCACGAAAUUCGAGCUUGAAUGGAAUUUCAUGUUUUAAAAGCUUCGAGUUAUUUUAUCAGAAGUCUCAGACAUUCACAGAAAAUAGCUUACUUCCGCUUUGAAAACUAAGGUGGAGCACUUUAAGCUCCUAGAAAUGUUGAUCAAAGCAUUAAAGAUCUCUAAGAGAAUGCUUGCAGUUAGUUUUGAGUUGAAGUACGAUAUCAUUGACUGCACUCAAGUAAAUGGAGAUCAUUUCCAUCUCAAGUUAAGGGUUUGAGGACCUGGAUGAGCUGUGCUCUUCCUUUAAGGCAAACUCCACCUUGUUCCCACUUCUGGUCAACUCUUGUUUCAAAGGGGGCGAUGUUACACAUCUACCCUGGAAUGCUCUGACUCCAUCCCUCCCGCUCUCCGGUUCCACAGGCUGCUCAUCACAGUUCUAGAGUUGUCUCAUGUUGCAUCUCUUCGGGCAGCUGCGGCUUCUUUGCUUUGGAGGCACCACUCGUUGACGGGACGAGCUUCUCCAUUGCUUCCUUAGCUUACAUAGAGGCUGGAUCCCAGGAGAGGCUGUUCACAUUCCUGUACAGCCUGUAAAGUAGGCAAACAAAGGUUGUUCAGGUUAAGUGCGCCACUCUAAAAAUGCUGAGCAAUGAGUAAUGUGUUCAGUAUCAGUUAAUGAAUCACCUUGCACACCUUUAUUCUGAAAAGUUACCGAAUAUAUGUUGGACCUGUGACCUAGUGGUUAGUGCAUAUCCUCCAGACACAGUUGUGUUCGUGUGAGUUACUGAGGUUCCUUUCUCCACAAUAAUGACCUGUCAACUGUUUCCAUUAAUAAGCAGCCC
rnacentral:lncRNA from 1 species